rnacentral:misc_RNA from 1 species
AAACCUGAAAAUCCUGCAUGAAGACACGAAUAUGUAUGUAUACAACUUCGACGCAUUUUUGCAUUUGGUCUACUUCAGUGUGCGGGACUGCUGAUUAGUUCUUGUUUCCAGCCAUCUGGCUGUGCGGCGAACUGCCAGCUCCUUCUGGCGACGAUUAUAGCUCUUUCUUUUACUUAUGAACAGGAGUCCUGCAGUAAGUACCAUUCCUCCUACAGCCCAAGAAACCCUUUCGGCUAUUGGCAUUUCUCUUGCCCAUUGCUGAAAAUCCUCAAGCACACUAAUCGUAUCGCCCUUAACAGGUGAACCAGAUUGCG